AUUGAACGCUGGCGGCAGGCCUGACACAUGCAAGUCGAACGAGUGGCGCACGGGUGAGUAAUGUCUGGGAAACUGCCUGAUGGAGGGGGAUAACUACUCGGCAGGCUAGCUGACACCGCCUACCAUCAGAUGGGCCCAUAUGGGAUUCGCUAGUGGGGGGGGUAACGGCUCACCAAGGCGACGAUCCCUAGCUGGUCUGAGAGGAUGACCAGCCACACUGGAACUGAGACACUGUCCAGACUCCUACGGGAGGCAGCAGUGGGGAAUCUUGCACAAUGGGCGCAAGCCUGAUGCAGCCAUGCCGCGUGAAUGAAGAAGGCCUUCGGGUUGUAAAGUACGUUCAGCGGGGAGGCGUUACCCGCAGAAGAAGCACCGGCUAACUCCGUGCCAGCAGCCGCGGUAAUUC
rnacentral:rRNA from 1 species